rnacentral:rRNA from 1 species
UACGGAGGGUGCGAGCGUUGUCCGGAAUCACUGGGCGUAAAGGGCGCGUAGGCGGCGCGGGGAGUCAACGGUGAAAGCUCGGCGCUCAACGCCGAGUCGGCCGUCGAUACUCCCGUGCUUGAGCACUGUAGAGGCAGGUGGAAUUCCGGGUGUAGCGGUGGAAUGCGUAGAGAUCCGGAAGAACACCGGUGGCGAAGGCGGCCUGCUGGGCAGUAGCUGACGCUGAGGCGCGACAGCGUGGGG